rnacentral:rRNA from 1 species
GAUGAACGCUAGCGGCAGGCUUAAUACAUGCAAGUCGUGGGGCAGCAGGGUUGUAGCAAUACAAUCGCUGGCGACCGGCAAACGGGUGCGUAACACGUACGCAACCUUCCCGUUACUGUGGCAUAGCCCAGGGAAACUUGGAUUAAUACCACAUAUUAUAUUGAGGGGGCAUCCCUUUGAUAUCAAAGCUUCGGCGGUAACGGAUGGGCGUGCGGUUGAUUAGGUAGUUGGCGGGGUAACGGCCCACCAAGCCUACGAUCAAUAGCUGAUGUGAGAGCAUGCUCAGCCACACGGGCACUGAGACACGGGCCCGACUCCUACGGGAGGCAGCAGUAAGGAAUAUUGGGCAAUGGACGAAAGUCUGACCCAGCCAUGCCGCGUGAAGGAUUAAGGUCCUCUGGAUUGUAAACUUCUUUUCUCUGGGGCGAAAACCAGCUAUUCUUAGCUAUUUGACAGUACCAGAGGAAUAAGCACCGGCUAACUCCGUGCCAGCCGCCGCAGUAACAC